AUCCCUGUUUUCCAGGUCUCCAACGUUCCUACGGCCGGAAUCGCUCCCUCCCGGCUCCAGCUCCGGCUCCAGAGGCUCCGGGAGAGGCUCCAGGUGUGCAGGGAUCCCAGGCCCCGCUCCUGGCACGGACACGACGGAUCGCCCGGAGCGCCCUCCUGAAAUCCGCCCCCUACAGCAGCUGCUGCCGCAGGAAAGGGGCCCAGGGAAGCAGCUCCCGGGCCGGCACCACCCGGACGGUGCCGGAGCCGCUCCGGAAUGUGGCAGAAUCCCAGGAUGUGGGAGAAUCCCGAGGAUCCCCAGCCCUGCUGCUGGAACACGGCAGCGGGAGGGCAGAUGUUCCGAAGGCUCCGACCCGGAAAGGAAAACCCUGCUCGGUGUGGGACGAGCUGAGCCCGGAGCGGCGCCGGGUCCUGCAGCACCACCUGCACCUGCGCAGCUCCAGGUGGAUCCUGGAUCCACCCGGAGCUGGGGACGGAUGGACCAGUCAGGGGGGC